GUUAGGCUUGGGUGACAGGUGGUACGGGGAAGCACGUGCACCGCUCGAGAGGCUCCUUGUCGGUUGCUGCACAUUUCUCACGAAGGCACCCUGUGGCUUCAAGCCACUCCUCGUGCUCAUGUUGAAAGAAGCUGAUUGCUUGGUCUGGAAGAAAUAGGAAGAGCCUGCCAUGUCUUUAAGGUUGAGUAAGGGCUUGAGGGCCUCCACGACUUCGCUCAUCAGAGGCCUAGCCUUGGGAUCCCGACUCAAGCAAUGGUGCGCCAGCUGCGCUGCCUUUUGGGCUCCUUUGAUGGAGAAGUUCCCCUCUAGGCGUGGGUCGAUCAGCCUGUAGAAGCGUCGUCUCUCUCCUAGAUGGGGGCGUGCCCAUUCGACCAGGUUGUGUUCGCCGUUCG
rnacentral:misc_RNA from 1 species